GCCUUAGCAAAGUGGUUAUGCACCGGACUGCAAAUCCGUUCACGGCGGUUCGAAUCCGCCAG
rnacentral:tRNA from 1 species